rnacentral:tRNA from 1 species
GGGGCGUUGGCGCAACGGUAGCGCACCCGGUUGUCAGCCGGAAGGUUGCGGGUUCGAAUCCCGUACGCCCCG